CAAUAUCAUUGGUCCAAUUUCACUUUUCCCUCUUUCCCUCAUUUCAAAAUCACACCCCUCUCUCUUCUUCCUCCUCAUUACGUAUUUUGUUCUCUCCUCCUUCUUCUCUACUCUCUCUUUUUCCUUUUCCUUGAAACCCCAAAAAUGCCUCCGGAGUCACCUCUCACCUCUAAGCCACGCAACGCUCACCCUACCUCACAACUUCUGCACAAUUUUCUCUUAAACGAGGAGACGCUCUAUUUUUCUGGAUUUGAGAUCCAUUUUGUGAAAUUCACGCUGAUUUAGUUUUAGUUUCAGAAGAUGUGAUUCCUCAGAGUCUUUGAUUUACUUUUGUUUCAGGAUAUGCAAUUCCUCACACCAAGAUGAAGAAUAUGAAGCGGAUCUUAAUAAUGUUAGGUUCAACAUGAACAUUUCGAAGACCUGUGUUUAAUAAAGGUUGUUACAGCCAAGAUCAUACCUAAUAUGCAAAUAGGUUGAUGCAGGUUGCUUUUUCUUUUUUCCAAUUCUGGUUUGGAUCAUGCUGUCACGUGGAGCACAAUUUUUUUUUGAAAACGAUCCAUUUUCAACUAGGAUUAGUAGAGAAAACUCAUUUCAGCAUGCACGAGGCAGAAAUAUAUCUUCUACUAAAUGUGUUUUUGGGUUUAAAAAUCUACCUUUUUAUCUGCAACUCAUAUGUUUACAAACCACACCAGAUAACCACAGGUUUUUAUCAGGUCUUAUUGUCACGAGAUACGACUGAAAGAUUAUCUUGCACUCCUUAGUUGUUGUUGUGUGCGCAACAUUUUCUCUAUUUCUAUUGUGUUGAUGACCAAAGGAUCUAUUAAAUCUUUGUGAGGUUAUUUGUCAUUGCAGUUAAUUUCUGUUUUGUUGUUCUAAACAUUUUAGCUGCAAAUUUCUAACAAACUAAGUGCUGAAACAAAAACCUUUUCAUUGGGAACUGCAUAUUUGCGUAACCUGCAUAUUUGGGGUCCGGAUUGUCUGACGUUUACGCGGUAACGUCACUCUACCUUUGGAGCACUUAAAAUCGUUGGAUAAAUCAUGUGUUCAAUAAAAUGCCACGUGACAAUCUUUUUUGUUUAAUUUCUUGAAAAGAAAAAAACGCAAGAAGAAAGAUAACUGUUACAACAUUGACGGUAGCAGGAGAAGCUUCCUCGGCUUGCGCCAUAACUAUUGAAAACGUGGAUGGCUGAAGACGAAAGCAAGGUGGGAGAUGAUCGGAAACAGAAGCAAGGUGAGAACAACAAGAAGAUUCUGGCAACGCAAACCAGAUGUGGGAUGGCCGGAGAUGGAAACAAGGUGGGAGAUGACGGAAAACAGAAACAAGGUGAGAGAGGCCGAUGAUGACAACAUCAAAAAACGGCAAGAAGAUGAUAUGGCGGAGGUGUUGGGGAACCGGUGGUCUGUGUGUAUUGUAAAGUAGUGCACCUGAACUAGUUGUUUUAAUUUUCAAAUUAAAAAAUAGAGACGUGUCAUUAUUAAGAAUGUUAGAUUUAUCUGAUGGACAAAAAUAGUUGAACUGCACUCUACCUUUGGCGCCCAAACGUCAGUGAAUCCAUUUCCGCAUAUUUGCCUAACCUGUUCAUUUUCCUGCUAUAGAUCAGCAUAACCUUUUGAAUUUGCCCAUCCUUUUGGGAAACACUUGAGUACAAUGUCACUUCAACCUUAAAUGCCAAGGUGAUUUCCCCACGUUUAAUAAGUCAUCAUCCAAAGGUUAGUCAUCAGCCAAUGAUUAUUGCUUGUCCCUGUGAGGGAAAAGGGUGGAAGUUCCUAGGCAGACUCCAGUUUGAAAGGAAAUUCACAUCAGGUAGAAUUGUGUAUUCUCGAGCUGACUCAAGGAUGAGACUAGAUCAGAGACAUUUAGAAAAUGGAGACUAUGAAUUUGCUAAUGCGGAGAAACUAAGGCUUGAACAGUUGUAGAGACAGUUUAUCCCACGGUGACGAGCUUAUACUCAUGACAUAUCCUGUUUCUUUUAUGUCAAAAUUUGGAAAUAAUUGGUCUCGUCCCAGCCACAUUAUUUUAUUUGAUUUAGAAGAGCAAAAGUUGAGAAGCUUCUUAAUUUUAUUUGAUUAUAAAGAGGAGAAACGGUUUUUAAUGCUCACUUCAAGGAAGAUCGUGAUCUUCAAGCUUCAAUGGUUGUAUAUGUUUGUUUAGGUUGUUUUCCAUGCAGCAGGUUUUUCAAAGCUAGAUUUUGAUUACCACAGUUAAAAGUAGACCAUGCGACCGGAUGUGUUCUUAGGAACCUAAUCGCUUUCUGACAAUGUCACUAUCCUGAUGAGCCUUACAUAUGCAACUAUGUUUCUUUGUUUGAUUCAAUUAUUUCCACCAAAGAUGAUGCAGAGUUGCUGGUAGAUAAAGAAAUCGCUGUUCAUGAACUUGAAAGCAGCGAAGAAUUGACGACCCUUUUUAACGGUCUAUGCAAACAUGUUGUCGGGUCUACUUUCUUGAUCCAUGGAGAAAUAGUUCUACCAUAGUUAUAAUUGUUCUAAUUUUAAAAAUCUUCAAUUUCUGUGGCGCUGAAUCAUCUAAUGUUGUAGUUACUUUAGAAAUCUAUGUAAUAAAUAACGUGUACUAGAGUUAUUAACUCUUGGAAGACCCUGUGUACUAGAAAUACUUCUGUUGCACAUGUAUGAUGAUUUUUUGUCAUGAACUCUUGGAAGUAUGAUAAAAUGAAUUAUAAGCUUUUGAAAGUAAGCUAAAUAAUUUACUCUAACCAUUUCACUUUAUCCAAUGUAUCCGUUCCAAUAAUCUAAUUCAUUAAAAAAAAAUAAAUUAAAACCACUUACCACAAUGAUGUCACAAUCAAGAUUCUUGAUAUCCAAUGUCAAAUAAUGAGUCGACAUGGACACUAAAGCAGAACCAAAAUUACUAAUAAGAAAUUCUUAAAAAUGAAAUUCAAGCAAUGUAGUGAAACAUAACAUGGUCCUACUAGC